CAGCCAUGGUUUAUUUUCCCUUAGGCUAUUCCCAACAGAAGAGCUUGAACAAUGCUGCAUUUGCAUCAGGUUCAAAUGAGCGAGAGGAACAUUUGGCUAAAAUAUUUGGAACCAGCAUUGCUUGGAAUUCUCCUAAACCAGAAUAUUUCCUUGGCAGUGUGGACAAAAUUCCUGAUAAAGAGAUGGGGUUUCACUGUGUUAGCCAGGAUGGUCUCGAUCUCCUGACCUCAUGAUCCGCCCGCCUCGGCCUCCCAAAGUGCUGGGAUUACAGGCGUGAACCACCAUGCCCGGCCCAGAAUGUCCUUUCUUUUCGAAGCGGAGUAAUAUUCCAUUAUCACCUUUCAGAGGAGAAGAAUUUUAAAGAAUCCUGUCUGUUCGACAGGGAUUUAAGAGAGCAGUUAACUACUAUAGAUAAAGAAACACUUCAAGGAGCAGCUAAACCAGAUCUCCUCUGGCAAACACGACAUAUAAUAUUUUUAUAAUGGAUGGAAAGACAUGGUGGCACAAUUCUGAAGAAAAAAAUUUCACAAAACUUGCAAAAAAACAGAAACAGUUGAAGAGCAGCUCCUGUGUCUAAGCCAGGUCGUGGGGCCGUCAAACCAGGACUUGAAACCACAAUGCGAGGACAUUCUCCAUCUGCGCACCACAGGGAGGCAAUUCCAUUUCUGCCCGGGAGGUGUAUUCUACAAAAACGUCUGCUUCCCAUCCCAAUUUGAAUGGACCAAGAAAAACUGCUUUACCAUAGGACACUUGUGGCAAUAUGGCACCGAUGGCUGGCGUCGGUGAACCCGACAGACUAU
rnacentral:lncRNA from 1 species